rnacentral:rRNA from 1 species
UACGUAGGGUGCGAGCGUUGUCCGGAAUUAUUGGGCGUAAAGAGCUCGUAGGCGGUGUGUCACGUCGGCCGUGAAAACCUGCAGCUUAACUGUGGGCGUGCGGUCGAUACGGGCAUCACUGGAGUUCGGCAGGGGAGACUGGAAUUCCUGGUGUAGCGGUGAAAUGCGUAGAUAUCAAGAGGAACACCUGCGGCGAAGGCGGGUUGCUGGGCUGACACUGACGCUGAAGUGCGAAAGCUAGGGGAGCGAACGGG